GACGCUGGCGGCGUGCCUAACACAUGCAAGUCGAACGAGAACGGAUAUUAGCUUGCUAAUAUUGUCAGCUAAGUGGCGCACGGGUGAGUAAUAUAUAGUUAAUCUGCCCCAAAGAAGAGAAUAAUUGUUGGAAACGACUUGUAAUGCUCUAUAUGCCUUUAUUACAUAAGUAAGCAAGGGAAACAUUUAUGGCUUUGGGAUGAGACUGUACGGUAUCAGCUAGUUGGUGAGGUAAUGGCUCACCAAGGCAAUGACAUCUAACUGGUUUGAGAGGAUGAUCAGUCACACUGGAACUGAGACACGGUCCAGACUCCUACGGGAGGCAGCAGUGGGGAAUAUUGCACAAUGGAGGAAACUCUGAUGCAGCAACGCCGCGUGGAGGAUGACACAUUUCGGUGCGUAAACUCCUUUUAUAUGAGAAGAUAAUGACGGUAUCAUAUGAAUAAGCACCGGCUAACUCCGUGCCAGCAGCCGCGGUAAUACGGGGGGUGCAAGCGUUACUCGGAAUCACUGGGCGUAAAGAGCAUGUAGGCUGGUUUGUAAGUUGGAAGUGAAAUCCUAUGGCUUAACCAUAGAACUGCUUCCAAAACUGCAGACCUAGAAUAUGGGAGAGGUAGAUGGAAUUUCUGGUGUAGGGGUAAAAUCCGUAGAGAUCAGAAGGAAUACCGAUUGCGAAGGCGAUCUACUGGAACAUUAUUGACGCUGAGAUGCGAAAGCGUGGGGAGCAAACAGGAUUAGAUACCCUGGUAGUCCACGCCCUAAACGAUGCACACUAGUUGUUGCCUUGCUAGACAAGGCAGUAAUGCAGUUAACACAGUAAGUGUGCCGCCUGGGGAGUACGGUCGCAAGAUUAAAACUCAAAGGAAUAGACGGGGACCCGCACAAGCGGUGGAGCAUGUGG
rnacentral:rRNA from 1 species